GACGAACGCUGGCGGCGUGCUUAACACAUGCAAGUCGAACGGACAGGCCCUGCUUUUGUGGGGUGCUUGAGUGGCGAACGGGUGAGUAACACGUGAGUAACCUGCCCUUGACUUUGGGAUAACUUCUGGAAACUGGGGCUAAUACCGGAUAGGAGCUCCUGCUGCAUGGUGGGGGUUGGAAAGUUUCGGCGGUUGGGGAUGGACUCGCGGCGUAUCAGCUUGUUGGUGGGGUAGUGGCUUACCAAGGCUUUGACGGGUAGCCGGCCUGAGCGGGUGACCGGCCACAUUGAGACUGAGGUACGGCCCAGACUCCUACGGGAGGCAGCAGUGGGGAAUAUUGCACAAUGGGCGGAAGCCUGAUGCAGCAACGCCGCGUGCGGGAUGACGGCCUUCGGGGUGUAAACCGCUUUCGCCUGUGACGAAGCGUGAGUGACGGUAAUGGGUAAAGAAGCACCGGCUAACUACGUG
rnacentral:rRNA from 1 species